AUGUACUACGCCGCAAUUUGAUUAUUGAAUUCAGAGUGUAUUUACUGCUUACUGCAGGGUGCGUACAUAUGAUAAAAUAUGUUUAAAGUCCUGCUAGUUUCUUUACUAAACGUGGUCGUUAUGCGAUGUCUCAUCGGGUCUGGUUAAACCCCUCUGCUUUAAACAUGGAGUGCAAAUUAUUUGUUUUUAAAGUGUUUUGUGUCGUUUUAAAAAUGGCUAUUGUGGUUGGACAGAACCCUUUGUCGAAAGCCAACUCAACUUCAGUGUUUGAACAACAAGCUGUUGAAUAAAUUUGCUAACACUCAACUGCGCAAGUUGCUUCAUGGUGGUUAAAGAAUGUACGAGUCACUGUAGCAGAAGAAAACAACGGAGUCUGUGCUUAUAGUCCACCUAAUAUACCAUCUUACUUUUCUGAGUAUACGUUUGGUAACUCAAGACAUAGCUGCACACUGAAAUCGUUGUCCUUGUCGAACCACGGAGAAGUAUGGACGUGUGCCAUAACCGACUCGAAUAACGGCACUUUGUACCAUAGUAACGAACAAAUAUUGGAAGUAAAAGCUAUACCAACAACGCAGAAAAGUGCACCAACAGAGGACAAUGGUAGCAAAUCUGUUAGUAUCAACAAUUCGGAUUUAAUGACAACACAAAUCAUACCUUCAACACCUCCAUACAAAGGACACAAUAAUUUCUGGAUAAUAUUUGUUGGAUUGAUAGUGAUUGCGUUUAUUGUAAUUAUUAUUUGUGCAUGCAGAC